UACGAAGGGGGCUAGCGUUGCUCGGAAUUACUGGGCGUAAAGCGCACGUAGGCGGCUUUUUAAGUCAGAGGUGAAAUCCUGGAGCUCAACUCCAGAACUGCCUUUGAUACUGGAGAGCUUGAGUCCGGGAGAGGUGAGUGGAACUGCGAGUGUAGAGGUUAAAUUCGUAGAUAUUCGCAAGAACACCAGUGGCGAAGGCGGCUCACUGGCCCGGUACUGACGCUGAGGUGCGAAAGCGUGGGGAGCAAACAGG
rnacentral:rRNA from 1 species